rnacentral:rRNA from 1 species
AUUGAACGCUGGCGGCAGGCCUAACACAUGCAAGUCGAGCGGAUGAAGGGAGCUUGCUCCUGGAUUCAGCGGCGGACGGGUGAGUAAUGCCUAGGAAUCUGCCUGGUAGUGGGGGAUAACGUCCGGAAACGGGCGCUAAUACCGCAUACGUCCUGAGGGAGAAAGUGGGGGAUCUUCGGACCUCACGCUAUCAGAUGAGCCUAGGUCGGAUUAGCUAGUUGGUGGGGUAAAGGCCUACCAAGGCGACGAUCCGUAACUGGUCUGAGAGGAUGAUCAGUCACACUGGAACUGAGACACCGUCCAGACUCCUGAGGGAGGCAGCAGUGGGGAAUAUUGGACAAUGGGCGAAAGCCUGAUCCAGCCAUGCCGCGUGUGUGGAGAAGGUCUUCGGAUUGUAAAGCACUUUAAGUUGGGAGGAAGGGCAGUAAGUUGAGACCUUGCUGUCUUGACGGUACCAACAGAAUAAGCACCGGCUAACUUCGUG